rnacentral:tRNA from 1 species
GGUAGCGUGGCCGAGCGGUCUAAGGCGCUGGCUUUAGGCACCAGUAUCCUCGGAGGCGUGGGUUCGAAUCCCACCGCUGCCA